UACGUAGGGGGCAAGCGUUGUCCGGAUUUAUUGGGCGUAAAGAGCUCGUAGGCGGCCUGUUACGUCUGCUGUGAAAUCCCGGGGCUUAACCCCGGGCGUGCAGUGGAUACGGGCAGGCUGGAGGCAGGCAGGGGAGAACGGGAAUUCCCGGUGUAGCGGUGAAAUGCGGCAGAGUAUCGGGAGGAACACCGGUGGCGAAGGCGGUUCUCUGGGCCUGUACUGACGCUGAGGAGCGAAAGCGUGGGGAGCGAACAGG
rnacentral:rRNA from 1 species